GACGAACGCUGGCGGCGUGCUUAACACAUGCAAGUCGAACGGAAAGGCCCUGCUUUUGUGGGGUGCUCGAGUGGCGAACUGGUGAGUACCACGUGAGUAACCUGCCCUUGACUUUGUGAUAACUUCAGGAAACUGGGGCUAAUACCGGAUAGGAGCUCCUGCUGCAUGGUGGGGGUUGGAAAGUUUCGGCGGGUGGGGAUGGACUCGCGGCUUAUCAGCUUGUUGGUGGGGUAGUGGCUUACCAAGGCUUUGACGGGUAGCCGGCCUGAGAGGGUGACCGGCCACAUUGGGACUGAGAUACGGCCCAGACUCCUACGGGAGGCAGCAGUGGGGAAUAUUGCACAAUGGGCGGAAGCCUGAUGCAGCAACGCCGCGUGCGGGAUAACGGCCUUCGGGUUGUAAACCGCUUUCGCCUGUGACGAAGCGUGAGUGACGGUAAUGGGUAAAGAAGCACCGGCUAACUACGUG
rnacentral:rRNA from 1 species